UACAGAGGUAGCAAGCGUUGUUCGGAUUUAUUGGGCGUAAAGGGUCCGUAGGUGACCUAAAAAGUCGGAUGUGAAAUCCCACAGCUCAACUGUGGAACUGCAUUCGAAACUCUUAGGCUCGAGUGUGAGAGGGGUAAAGGGAAUUCCCGGUGUAAGGGUGAAAUCUGCAGAGAUCGGGAAGAACACCAGUCGCGAAGGCGCUUUACUAGAUCACAACUGACGCUGAGGAACGAAAGCUAGGGGAGCAAACGAG
rnacentral:rRNA from 1 species